ensembl:lncRNA
GGCAGAGAGGCGGCGGCUCUGCUGCCCUUCACAGGAAGGUCCCUGGGAUCCAGCUCCCCUGAGAGGAAGAUAAGAUGGGUGGAGCAUGGCUGGAAGCAGAAUUCCUGGCAGAGGCGCCCUGCUACUGGCUGCCAUCCUUCAAGGCUCCACUCAAAUGCCACCUCCUCCUUAAAGCCUUCUUGGAUUCAUCCUUGGCUCCCUGGAUCAAGAGGCGCUCCUGGGGAGCCUGGCUACAUCCUCCUGCUAAUAGACCUGGGCUGGUGGGGAGCUCGGGGUCACGUGCAGGCUGCUCUUCUCUGGCCCUCACGGUGGCUGAGUGCCAGAAGCAGCCUGGCUGGGGUGUCGACUGUCAAGGACGGCCUUCGGGGCCCCUGGGGACACCCUGGGCUGGGAGCUGCUGCCCAGAGCCUGAGGAGCACUGGCUAUUUCAGUGCCUGCCGGCACCCAACUCAUACCGCCCACACCCUUGGAUGUUUGCAUGUCCCUCAGUCUCCUCCUUGCAGGAGUCCUGUCCCAGGCAGAUGGCAGGCAGGACAGAUGUGUGGGCCGCUCCCGCCUCAAACCUACAGCAGUCCUGGAACCGAGGUACUGGCGUCCUGUUUUCCCUGAUGGGGAAACUGAGGCUUGGAGCUGUGAUAUGAUUUGCCCCGUCAUAGGGUGAGCAAGAGGCUGGGUCUGAAGCCAGCCCUGGGAUGGCUUCCUGGAGGAGGAGGGCCAGCUGGCGAAGCUCUGUUCACUGAACUCGAGGCCCAGGGAGGUUAGAACGGCUGCUCCCAGCCCAGAACCCCGGUUUCUGAUCUCACAUGGCUCGUUCCAAAUAGAAGCGACUGAGUUUCUUCAACAAGAAGAUUAACUCAUUGCAGGACUGAGAGAAAACGAUGCCAGACAAGCCUCCCCCCGCAAGCGCCCCUCACGGACAGUGCCCUGUCUCUGCCAACACUGAGAAGAGCAGGGCGCCCCAAACCCGGUGGAGAAAACAGAGAGCUCUGAAAGUUCUCUGUGUCCUAGAAGUUUGAUCAACCAUGGGAAAGCUAGAAAAUAGGAAUUGGCAGUUUUUCAUAACUUUCAUUUUGAAACAUUUCGACCUUUCGGAAAAGUGGUAAGAAGAGUCCAACGAGCGGCCAGACGCCCUUCAGCCGCAUCCAGCGCCCGCCCGCCUCCCCGUGUGCGCACCGCCAGCCAGCCACCGUCACCCGUCUGUCAUCUCCCGGUCUCCACCCAGGGAUGCGUGUGCCGUCCUCCUGUGCGUGCACAUGUGCAUCUGUCCAUCAGCUGCCAGCGCCACUGCCCGCUCCCCGAGCCACGUGAGAACCAGCUUUGGCAUCCUGACCUUUCACCUGCAGUAAUACCACGGUCUCCAAGGACAACAGAGUCCGCCCAUGUCACUGUGACACCGUCACCACACCCAGGAGUUUUUCCUGGAUACAGUCACCUAAUGUUGGUCCCACGGACCCAGCUGCGUCCCGCGAGCUACUUGCCGGUCUAGACGGAGGAGUCAGUCCAGGACUGGGAGCUGCGGUGACCUCCAGCUCUCUCCGUGUUCUGUUCACGGCGGUGAUGUUUCCGAGGGGUCAGGAGCAGGUAUCUGCUGGAGUCUCUCUGAACCUGGGUGUGUCCUCCCCUCCUCAAGAAUGGUUUUGGUGAGAACGCUGCAGUGGAGGGCGGGGGCCUCCCCCAAGACAUACAUGGUGAAGUUUGUUCCAAAAUGUUUGCUUACCAACUUAGUUUCUUAUUCCUUGAAAUGUACUUCGCGGCAAGGAGAAGUGAGGAUUUAAUCAGGUAGUUUCUCUAACCUGCCCCAGUGGCACUGAGUGAAGGACUCUUUCAACGUCUCUCGUUUCCUCCUCUGGAGUCCCUUUAGCUUUUCCGGGCUCUGCGUGUCCUGGCCCAUUUGUCCCGAGCUCCAUGCUGUUCUGAUGACCCCAGCACCCUGCCUUCCUCUUCACGCUCAGAGCCCGUGCACCUCUUUGUUUUGGGAGCGUGGGUGCUCACCCUGCAGCCCCGCCUCUUCAGGGCACUCUGAUGUCCUCCCCACCCCCCUCCCCCGCCUGUGAGCCAAGGUCACCUCCCUGCUGACCCCACGGGCUCUGGUCUGGCUUGUGCCUUUACUCAGGGAGGUGCUGCCCUCCCUGCAUGGGAAGCCUUUCCAUCCAGUGAGUCCCUCUCUCUGGAGGACACGCUCUCACCAUCUUUCCUCUGGGAGGCCUGGGAAGCCAGCAAUGCCUCUCCCCAACCAACCUGUGAGCCCCAGACUCCUGCCUCCCUCUGGAGGCUGAGUCCCAUCAAAUCUGAAGGCCAAGGGAGACUGUCGACCCCCCUCACCCCAUCCACAGCCAGGACAGAGGGACGGGGCCUGCCGGGAGCCCCCGGGGAAGGAGGUGUGCACUGGCUCUGGGCUCAAGCCAGGUGCCCACCAGACUUGAACCUUGGAAUUCACACCUAAGAUGCAAACUCGGCUAUAAAUCCUGAAGACAACUGUGGGGUGAGGUCUGCCACUGGGGCCUGGCCAGUUGGCAGGCGGCCCUGGGGGAUCGGUUUCUCUUUCUGUCCCCGCAUGUGUCCGAAUCCAUAGCCCACCAGUCGGCUCUGUCCCCCUAGAACAAGUGCACACCCCUGACACGGCCUCGAGGUCUGUGGGACCUGCCCACUGCCCACCGGUCCCAGCUCAUGCCCUCCUGCUGGCCCUCAACACGCCUAGCCGGUUCCUGCUUCCAGGCCUUGGCACAGGCUGCUGUAGGCUGCUGUGAGCUUUGCCUAGAAGGUUCCAUCCUGAUCUCAGCACUGACUCCUUUAGAAACAGGGCUUCCUGACCUGGAAGCGUGGACACUAGCCACUCGUUUACUGUUCCCUGGAGAGACUGUAGGCUCCGUGAGGGCAUCGUGUUAGUGCUGCAUUCCUGUGCCCGGCACAGAAAUACCUGUUGUGUGAAUGAGGAUUUCCGAAAGCAGCCCCCCUGGGCUGGCUAUGACCAGAGGCGGGAGCUGAGGCUCCAAGAUGCUGAAGAGUUUGCUCAGGGUCAUACGGCAGACGAAGCAAGCCCGUGUGGUGGGCAGAGCAGGCCCCGGGCUGUUCUGGUCUCCGGGGACUUUGGGCUUCCCAGGGCAGGACUUCCGCCCCGCCCCUGCCCUACUCAUACUCACUGGCUUGGCUCCACUGAGGAGAUACGAACUCCAGAUGCCCAGACCAGCUGUGUCCAGUAGAAAUGUCACUAAAGCCACACACAGUAUUUUAAAUUUUCUAGCCACCACAUUAAACACAGGAAAAACAAAUGUGUGAAAUUAAUUGCAAUAAUAC